AAAACGGCCCUUUUCAGGGCCACCACAAAUUAUAGAAACGCCAAUAU
rfam:Daphnia magna strain Xinb3 scaffold01581, whole genome shotgun sequence.